rnacentral:lncRNA from 1 species
GGAAAACGUGUUCUCAAAAGCUCAGUGAUGUUGAUCCUGGGAAUAAAAGUAUUAAUGUUUAGUAAUAUUCUUUCCAUUUAGAUCUACAGAGUUGGAUUCUAACUGGUCGUGGUUUCAGUUGCGAUGCAUGCAAGUUGGAGGAAACGCCAAUGCAAGGCAGAGGCUUUCGGAGAGUCAUCAAAGAAGUAUGUUCACAGGAAAACAACAGGCAGUGGUAAGUGCUUUAAGAAAAUUAACACAGGAAGUGAGGGCAUGAAGAAACUGGAGGCUUCUUUAUGACAAUAUUUUUUUAAUAUCUGGGGUGACUUUGUGCUUAGGAUAAAAUACUUGUAUUUGAAUUAACAUUUAACUUCUUAAAUCUAC